UACGGGGGGAGCGAGCGUUAUUCGUCAUGACUGGGCGUAAAGGGGAUCUGUAGGUGGCUAGAUUUAUGAUUUGCUUGUAAAGCCUUAUGGGAAGACAUUGGGAGUGUGGUGAAUUACAUGGUUUUAGCUUUGGAGUCUAUUGGAUGGUUGCAGUACCCCCAGAGUAGAGGUGGAAUCCGGAGAUCCUGGAGGGGACUCGCAAUAUGUGAAAACGGUAACCGUCGGUAGUACUGACGCUGGAGGGAUGAAAGCAUGGGGAGCAAACAGG
rnacentral:rRNA from 1 species